rnacentral:rRNA from 2 species
UGCAAGUCGAGCGGACGGAUGGGAGCUUGCUCCCUGAAGUCAGCGGCGGACGGGUGAGUAACACGUGGGCAACCUGCCUGUAAGACUGGGAUAACUCCGGGAAACCGGGGCUAAUACCGGAUAACUCUUUUCCUCACAUGAGGAAAAGCUGAAAGAUGGUUUCGGCUAUCACUUACAGAUGGGCCCGCGGCGCAUUAGCUAGUUGGUGAGGUAACGGCUCACCAAGGCCACGAUGCGUAGCCGACCUGAGAGGGUGAUCGGCCACACUGGGACUGAGACACGGCCCAGACUCCUACGGGAGGCAGCAGUAGGGAAUCUUCCGCAAUGGACGAAAGUCUGACGGAGCAACGCCGCGUGAGUGAUGAAGGUUUUCGGAUCGUAAAACUCUGUUGUCAGGGAAGAACAAGUACCGGAGUAACUGCCGGUACCUUGACGGUACCUGACCAGAAAGCCACGGCUAACUACGUGCCAGCAGCCGCGGUAAUACGUAGGUGGCAAGCGUUGUCCGGAAUUAUUGGGCGUAAAGCGCGCGCAGGCGGUUCCUUAAGUCUGAUGUGAAAGCCCCCGGCUCAACCGGGGAGGGUCAUUGGAAACUGGGGAACUUGAGUGCAGAAGAGAAGAGUGGAAUUCCACGUGUAGCGGUGAAAUGCGUAGAGAUGUGGAGGAACACCAGUGGCGAAAGCGACUCUUUGGUCUGUAACUGACGCUGAGCGCGAAAGCGUGGGGAGCAAA